rnacentral:rRNA from 1 species
GACGAACGCUGGCGGCGUGCUUAACACAUGCAAGUCGCACGGUAAGGCCCUUCGGGGUACACGAGUGGCGAACGGGUGAGUAACACGUGGGUGAUCUGCCCUGCACUUCGGGAUAAGCCUGGGCAACUGGGUCUCCUCCCGGAUAGGACUCCGGACUGCAUGGUCUGGGGUGGAAAGCUUUUGCGGUGUGGGAUGGGCCCGCGGCCUAUCAGCUUGUUGGUGGGGUGAUGGCCUACCAAGGCGACGACGGGUAGCCGGCCUGAGAGGGUGACCGGCCACACUGGGACUGAGAUACGGCCCAGACUCCUACGGGAGGCAGCAGUGGGGAAUAUUGCACAAUGGGCGCAAGCCUGAUGCAGCGACGCCGCGUGAGGGAUGACGGCCUUCGGGUUGUAAACCUCUUUCAGCAUCGAUGAAGCGAAAGUGACGGUAGGUGCAGAAGAAGGACCGGCCAACUACGUGCCAGCCGCCGCAGUAA